UCCUCCGCGAGGUGGAAUCUGAAGGAAGUCGGCGGCAAACCUCCGGUUCGAGGAACACGAAUCUCAUAUAAGGCUAACGUUCGUUGGAUGAGGCUGCAAUACAAGUCAAAGUCCUUACUGCCGAAGGCGAGCGGGAGUAAAUGAGGCGAAUAGAUGGAGGGAAAGAUAGCGUU
rnacentral:ncRNA from 1 species